GGGCGGUUAGCUCAGCUGGUUCAGAGCACUUGGUUUACACCCAAGGGGUCAUAGGUUCGAAUCCUAUACCGCCCACUA
rnacentral:tRNA from 1 species